rnacentral:rRNA from 1 species
ACACAUGCAAGUCGAGCGCACUCUUCGGAGUGAGCGGCGGACGGGUUAGUAACGCGUGGGAACAUACCCUUUUCUACGGAAUAGCCUCGGGAAACUGAGAGUAAUACCGUAUACGCCCUUCGGGGGAAAGAUUUAUCGGUGAAGGAUUGGCCCGCGUUUGAUUAGAUAGUUGGUGGGGUAAUGGCCUACCAAGUCUACGAUCAAUAGCUGGUUUGAGAGGAUGAUCAGCAACACUGGGACUGAGACACGGCCCAGACUCCUACGGGAGGCAGCAGUGGGGAAUCUUAGACAAUGGGCGCAAGCCUGAUCUAGCCAUGCCGCGUGAGUGACGAAGGCCUUAGGGUCGUAAAGCUCUUUCGCCAGGGAUGAUAAUGACAGUACCUGGUAAAGAAACCCCGGCUAACUCCGUGCCAGCAGCCGCGGUAAUACGGAGGGGGUUAGCGUUGUUCGGAAUUACUGGGCGUAAAGCGUACGUAGGCGGAUUGGAAAGUAUGGGGUGAAAUCCCAGGGCUCAACCCUGGAACUGCCCUGUAAACUAUCAGUCUAGAGUUCGAGAGAGGUGAGUGGAAUUCCAAGUGUAGAGGUGAAAUUCGUAGAUAUUUGGAGGAACACCAGUGGCGAAGGCGGCUCACUGGCUCGAUACUGACGCUGAGGUACGAAAGUGUGGGGAGCAAACAGGAUUAGAUACCCUGGUAGUCCACACCGUAAACGAUGAAUGCCAGACGUCAAGGGCUUGCCCUUUGGUGUCACACCUAACGGAUUAAGCAUUCCGCCUGGGGAGUACGGUCGCAGAUUAAACUCAAAGGAAUUGACGGGGGCCCGCACAAGCGGUGGAGCAUGACACAUGCAAACACAUGCAAACACAUGCAAUU